ensembl:antisense predicted gene 15343
GCACAUGCGCAGUAAUCAGGCCAAACGGACUUGACACCAUCUGCGGUCAUAGUCCAAAGUCCCUAACUUUGACCACACGGCUAUUUCCAUUCUGAUAGACUCUGCGGGUUCCACAACUAUCUUGCCUGCAGCUCUGCAUUUAGGGACACCCAAAUUGGAAGAGGACUUACUGGUCUCUUCAAGGGGGAGACGGAGGCUUUCAAGGAUGCUGUGCUAAGAAGGGUUCCAGCAUUCAGCCUGAGCCCCAGGUUCUGCUCAGAAACACCAACCCACAGCUUUUGCAGGCCUGCAGAGACCAAGACACCUCACCACGCCCUCAAAGAGCCAGAGGAAUGUUGGACACUGUGAAACCGUAGAGGCGAGUCACCCCUGGGAACACAUAGGCCAGGAUACGCCGGUCAAGCUGGAACGCGAUCUCCCCAACGAUUCGGCCAUCCUUCUCAGCACCCGAAAAACUCUGGAUCUCUGGAUGCUGUUCUGCCACCCCACCAACUCAGCCUUCUCUGAGGACAGCAGGAGACAUCACAGCCUGGAUCUGGAAGACAGGCCAAUGUCUGAAAGGAGUAACCAACCACUUUCUGACUGGAUUUGAGACCGGCUCC